UACGUAGGGGGCAAGCGUUAUCCGGAUUUACUGGGUGUAAAGGGAGCGUAGACGGCCAUUCAAGCCAGAUGUGAAAGCCCGGGGCUCAACCCCGGGACUGCAUUUGGAACUGUAUGGCUGGAGUGUCGGAGAGGCAGGCGGAAUUCCUAGUGUAGCGGUGAAAUGCGUAGAUAUUAGGAGGAACACCAGUGGCGAAGGCGGCCUGCUGGACGAUGACUGACGUUGAGGCUCGAAAGCGUGGGGAGCAAACAGG
rnacentral:rRNA from 1 species